rnacentral:misc_RNA from 1 species
GAUGAAGAACGUAGCGAAAUGCGAUAAUUAAUGUGAAUUGCAGAAUUCAGUGAAUCAUCGAGUCUUUGAACGCACAUUGCGCCCCCUGGUAUUCCGGGGGGCAUGCCUGUCCGAGCGUCAUUGCUGCCCUCAAGCCCGGCUUGUGUGUUGGGCCUUGCUCCCCCGGGGGCAGGCCCGAAAGGCAGUGGCGGCACCGCGUCCGAUCCUCGAGCGUAUGGGGCUUUGUCACCCGCUCUGUAGGCCCGGCCGGCGCUUGACGACCCCAAUCAAUCUUUUUUCAGGUUGACCUCGGAUCAGGUAGGGAUACCCGCUGAACUUAAGCAUAUCAAUAAGCGGAGGA